AGUGCCGCACAAAACGUGGCUUUGCCUCCUCACUGACCGAUUAAACACGGUGCGGCUCCACUUCCCUGGGUUUUAUUUAAACGGCUAGAGGUUUAAUUUCUGCAUGGAACUUCACUCAUCUCAAGCCAUUAAACAAGAUACUGCACCACCAUAAGACUGCAGGCGGGAGGGAACUGGAGGGAAGCACCUCAACAACAGGUCAACACAAGCGCUCCCAGUCUUUCAGCCAAACUGCUGCAUGUUUCGUCUCAGGCUUCCUUCAACUCUGCUCCUCUGUCACGGGUAGAACCACUCUAUCCUCCUGAGGCAAAAAGUAAACAGCCGCCGCACAGUGUCUUCAUGUCGGUGCCUCCUGGAUUGAAGGCACCUGUUUCUCGCUGGUCGCUCGAUGUCCAGAUGCUCCAGAAUAAGAACCAGACCAGGUAUGAGAAAAUGGCUUUAGUGAAGCACCAAAGUCAUAAUUAAACAGCACAAGCGCUUGGCUCACACGGACUGUCGGGUCCAAUAAGAAUCGUCCAAAACUAUUCCUCAGCUUAUUUUAGAGUGGUGUGUUGCCUGUCCUGUUCCAUGUGUCUCACGCUUUCUCAGUAUAUCUGCUAUCUGAUCUUGUUCUGCUGCGGAUCCCACUCUGUAUCCCACAUCUAGUGAACUAUUGCUCACUGCUCGGCUCUCGUCCUCCCCCUCCCUUUCACAGUGUCACUGUAGAUACUUGGCAUUUGGAGACUGUGUGCUCUUCCCCAAGCUAGUGUUGUACCAGCAAUGACUUGGACUGGACUGGUUAGCAAAUAAAUGCUAAUGUUAACGUAACAAAAAUGAUGACAUUCUAACUGGGGAUCUCCUGCUGUUUUAGGUGUUAGAGGUGGGAGCAUUUCUGAUCUCCAGGGAGGAUGGGGACAGUGAAGGCAAUGGUGCCAAACCAGGUUCAGUGUGUGGAAGUUGGAGGCACCUAUAAAAGAUGGGUAAGGUAGAUGGGGGCCAGGUCUAGCAGUAUUUUGAAGUGUAUUUUUAAGACCAGGGGCGAUGUGGUUUACAGACAUCGGGUCCUGGAUUUGCUGCAGGUUGGUAGGAAGGGUUGUGGGCAGAUCUCUGAGGAGGCUGAUCCUGCAAAAGCAUGGUUCAGGUUUACAGCAGCAGAGAAUGGAUGACACGACUGGAUGGAUGCAGUGAUUUCAUCCGUUGAACAAACAUUUACACUACAUGACGCGGUACAGGACAGGGCUGCUUCUGUUUAAAAUAUGCCCAUUCAGCUUUGGAGGAACCCACCAUCAGCCUGCUGUGCCCAGCGCUUUGAAAUUCUGUCCAGAGACAGAAACAGGAUCGUUGGUUCCAACGCUGUCCUGACCCAGAUUCACUAGACGCCAUUAGAGAACAGAGACGGGCGGAAGGUGUGUGUGACACUGCAAUACGAUGGCCUCCAAGGAGCCACGGUUGCCUCGGAGUAUCGCUUUUCUCGGAUAAUACAAAAUACUAUUUGACCUCUGUGAAGGCUGAGCAGGUGCAUCUGUGAACUGGUGUUUCUACAGCAGCCGCUGAUCAGUCAUGAGGACCAGGAGUUUUUUGGGGGCAGCGACUCAGAACAAGCUCAGCAGCUCCUGGCUUAGCUGAGGGUUCUCCAGACAUUUCUGAGUGUGCUAAACCCACAGCGACUUUAGUUUUUACAUCAGGUUACGUGAUGUAAAAAGUGUCAGAAAACAGCAUGUCACAUACAAAAUGUCAUAGUAUAGCAUGUAAUCAAAAUUUGCAACAAAAUAGUCAUUACAAUUACAUGAGUAUAAUCUUGAUAAAAAUUUUGAUGAAAAAGUCUCAAAAUAUUGUUAUCAAAAAAAGCCAGUGACAUCAGAAUUUUGCCAUAGUACAGUAUGAAAAAAGUCCUAUAGUAGCAUGUCAGCAAGAAAAGUUUCAUAAAACAGUAUUAUCUAUAUAAACAGUAGUGAUCAAAAAUUGGUCGUAUGUUGUCAAAAAGGCCUAUAGUAAAGUAAGUAAACAGUCCCACAGUAUAAAUACUAGUCACACACUUGUAUAAAUUGUCAUCAUAUCUCCGUGUUGUCAAAAAAGUCCCAUAGUAUAGUAUGUCAGUAAAAAAUGGUCAUUUUGUUUGUGUUGUCAAAAAAAGUGUUAUAGUCAUUACAUACUAGUAUGUGAUCAAACGAUUAUGUUGUCAAAAAGGCCUGUGUCAUAGUAGUACAUCCAGUGGUAAUACAAAUCAACAGUAUCUUUGAGAUAUUAAAAACUAUUUUCAACAAUUACAUUUUAACAGUUAAAAGUUGUUUGUUGCUCCCUCUAGUGGGAUUGAGUCUCCUUUUAUGUGAAAUCUGAAUAGAUGUUUUUUUUCCCUACGAGAAAGAAGACAUCCACCUUUUAAACAGUAUAGUUGAUUGUGUAACAAAGGUUGGACUUACUGUAAUAAAUCUGUUAAAACAUUGUGCUGAACAAUGACGUGGUCAGUCUCAUCUGUUGCUCAGCAGGACUCAAACAGUUUCAUUCUCUCUUGGAUAGAAAGGCCUUCUUUUAAACUCUGCAGCCAAACAUGCAGAAAGGGGAAAUAAAGAAGAUAUUAAGGGUAAAAGAUCUUAAUGUCUACUUUGUAAGAAUUUGAAAACCCUCAACUUGUUUAUGUAAAUAUACAGUAAACCUGUUGCCAUGUGUUUCUGUAAUGUCUCUCUUACCUUCGAUCUCACUCCUCUGAUCCUACAUAUGAGGGAUGACUUUUCCUUUUUCUUCGGAAAAGCUCCAUUACCUGUGUUAGUCGCUGUGUCCGCUAAAAAAAUAAGUCAUACUUGACAUUAUGGAACUGGGGCGUGUAUUUAACAAGUUCGAUGGGCAGACAAAUAAAAUACAUUUGUGGGUUUAGGAGCUGGAAUUUAAAGUUUAAAAAAAUUCAAAUGCUACUUCAGCUUAUACUUGAUGACUAUGUGUUCAUCUCAGUAAUCAAAAUGUAUGUAUAAUGUAAACAAAUAAAGAUGGUCUCACUGAGCUGUUGCCCUGAAGCCUCUCUACUCGGAGACCAAGUUGCGAACUUCAUCUCUUCACGGGAUCUGUGGACGUCAUGAUGGGACUCCUCCUGGCUGCUCUUAUAAAGAGCCUUCAGCUUGUUCUGGGCGUAGAUUUUAUCCUGGGUAAAUCAUAGAGUUGAUUUUAUUAUAUUAUAGUGUCCAACAGUCAGUUAUCAUCACCGAAGCUGCAGUUUAACCAGUAAUGAUAAUCUCAGGAGGGACAGUACCAUUCGAGCAAUCUUCAACUCAUCCUUGAGAGAACGAGCUUCCUGUAGGAGGAACUGCAUCUCUGCCUCCCUCGCCCGCAGAAUCACCUGCGAGACAAUAAGGAAUGAGCUGUGUAUCAACACGGACAUUUUUAAAACCUGUUAGGAAACUAGACAUGUUGUCCACGCACCCACCUCCAUCUCGUAGAAGUCGUUCAGUUGUGGGGCCACAAGGGACUGAUCCCCGUUCAGGGAGCAGUCAGUUUCAUGUGCAUCGACCUUAAUGACGGCGAGAAGACCCGUUGAAGCAAAAAACGCCGUCACAAACACAACUGCUGCUGUUGCGUGGAGUUCGUACCUGCUUCUGUUUGAGGUCCUGGUUUUCCUGCUGGUACCGCACUAACAGUUCUUUCUCACCCUGCAGCUCCUGGCUCAGCUGGGAGUUCUCCAGACACUUCUGAGUGUGCUGAACCGACAGCGACUCCAGCUCCUUGUGCAAUAACUGGAUCUCCUUUCUGCAGCGGCAAAGCACAAGCGUUCAUCCUGAACAUUCCUGUUUAUCUGCUGGAGUCGUGAUAAUUCCCUCUGUGUCUGCUCGAGCUACAGAAAAAUACAAACACUAAUUUACCUUUUGACUACAUAUAGACAUAGGUGAGACUUUGCAUACGCACCUCUCUAACCAGCUGCCCGGUCUGAUUCUCACAACGCAGUGAGUCCUCUUCUUUCGGACACUCACAGGUGUUGCUGUUCAGUGACACACGCUGCUCCUCACUUUGUGUUGCGUUUUCAUCUUCCACGCCUUUGGAGCCAGAGCUGUCACUUCCACUUCCUUCAGCACUCGAUGCUUCUGUUGGACCUGGAACACAAAAGUUUGUGUGGCUGCAGCAACAGGUGGACACUGAUGACAGGACGCUCGUUCGUCCUCCUCCAUCUGCUGAGGAGGACUGAUGGGAGGCACAGCAGAAGACGCUGAGCUUCCAUCAGCAGAGCUCUGCUCUCCUUCCAGCU